UAGUGUGAUAGAACACAUUCAGAGGUGGAGAGAAGGGAAAAAUACUAGCUCAGGAGGAAGACUAUAUUAAGGCUGAUCUCUUGCUAACAAACAGCUUUGGCUUUGCUUGUGCAUGAAUACGGAGUCCGUGUCCAGAAUCGCCACAAAUGGUGCCCCAUGUGAGGAGCGACAAAUCGACCGAAGAAGGUGAACCGGUGGCGAGCCCCACAGGACUGAAGUGCUGCUGAAAGGAAGCAAGAGCCGGCUGGAAUCCCUCAUCGAGUGAGCUCCCCCAAUGAGCCGACACUAUCUCUCUCUGCAAACAGACCGGCAGAGCACUGAAGGAAAGGCGCAGGUCCUUGUAUGAAAUUUAGAAUCCGGGAUAACGGAGGGUCCCUUCGCCCUAAUAACAUGGGGGAGAGGUUACGCUUGCGUCUCCACAGGGUCAGGACAUCGCUGGAUCCCAGCCCAUUGUGUUCGGCCGUAUCGGUAUCAACCCUCAACAGAAAAUUCCGUAUCGGAAGAACCAAACCCUACUGAAGGAAAAUGAAGAUGCUCUGUUUGUUGAUUGUAUUUAUAAUCUGUUCAUGUAACUGGGUAUGUUCUUGGCCAGGUGUGCCAGUUUUGGCUGAGAAGGGGUUAAUUCUCCUCACUGUGGGGGGUCGGCUACCUUUCCAGCUUCCCGAGCUCUGCCACUUCGGCAGGAGGCUGGGAGGGGCAGGGCCAUGGUUGGGGUGGCUGACCCCGACUGGCCAAUGGCAGGUUCAUUCCAUACCAUGUGACACCAUGACCAAUAUAUUGAGGGGGGGCAGUUUGCGGCUCGGGGAGGCGCGGUGUUGGUUCGGCGGGCGGUGAGCGGCUGCGUCGUGUGCGGUUUGUUUCGGCGGUUCAUUCCCCUCCCCCCUCCCUUCCCCCUCCCCCGGGUUUCGCGCCUCUCAUUGUUCUCCUUUCCAUUGCAUUUCUGUUGUUGUUUCUUUUAAUUAUAAUUAUUAAACUGUUCUUAUCUCAA